ensembl:lncRNA
GUCAUGUUGCACAUUAUAAUGUGGUUUACUUAAAAACUGAUACUGUUUGAAUCAAACUUCCGUGUUUAAUUUCUUUAAAAAAUAUAUAAUUGUGAUCACAUCCAUGUUUUUAAUUUCUUAAAAAAAUAUCAUGCUGAACAAAAUUCAGUGUUUAAUUUUGUUUUAAAUGCUGUGUAUAAUCCAGUGGUUGAUUUUAAAAAAAAUGUGAUUAUGUUUAACAUAAUUUAAUACUUAAUAUCUUUUUUUUUAUGUUAUUUAUUUAUUUAUUAAACAUUAUUCAAUGUUUAAUUUCUUAAACAAUUUUCAUACUGAACAAAUGUUUAAUUAUCGAAAAAUAAAGUAAUAUAAUACUUUGUGCUACCUCCCUUUAGCAAGAUAACAGCUCUGAGUCUUCUCCUAUAAUGCCUGAUAGAGGUUGGAGAAUACAUGGUAAGGGAUCCGAGACUGUUCCUCCAUACAGAAUCUCUCCAGAUCCUUCACAUUUCAAGGUCCAAGCUAGUGGACUCUCCUCUUCAGUUCACCCCACAGGUUUACUAUCGGGUUUCAAGUCAGGGGACUGGGAUGUUCAUGGCAGGAUCUUGAUUUUGUGGUCAGUAAACCAUUUUUGUGUUGAUUUUGAUGUAUGUUUUGGAUCAUUGUCCUGCUGGAAGAUCCAACCACGGCCCAUUUUAAGCUUUCUAGCAGAGGCAGUCAGGUUUUCAGUUAAUAUCUGUUCAUAUUUGGUAGAGUCCAUGAUGCCAUGUAUCCUAAUAAAAUGUCCAGGUCCUCUGGCGGAAAAACAGUCUCAAAACAUUAAAGAGCCACCACCAUAUUUAACCGUGGUCAUGAGGUACUUUUCCAUAUGGCUACCUCUCCGUGUGCGCCAAAACCUCCUCUGGUGUUUAUUGCUAAAAAGCUCUAUUUUGGUUUCAUCUGACCAUAGAACCCGAUCCCAUUUGAAGUUCCAGUAGUGUCUGGCAAACUGAACACGCUCGAGUUUGUUUUUGGAUGAGAGUAGAGGCUUUUUUCUUGAAACCCUUCCAAACAACUUGUGGUGAUGUAGGUGACUUCUGAUUGUAGUUUUGGAGAAUUUCUGACCCCAAGACGCAACUAACUUCUGCAUUUCUCCAGCUGUGAUCCACUCAAACCAUCCUCUGUGUUGUGUUUGCGAUAAUCUUUUUAACAAAAGAUCAAAAGUUUAAACAAUAACGCCAAUUUUUCACAGCCUUCUUCACUCGUAUUUACCAAGGGUGCCAAUGUUAGUGGACGGCACUAUAUGCGUUUCUUACACGAUUCGUAUAUUUCUAACGCGAUUUUACACACUAUUUUCACGUGUGAUUUUUAACACAUUAUAAAUAAAUUUUCACGUGUUUCUUACACAAUUCAUUUAUUUUCACAUGUGAUGUGUAACCAAGAACCGACCUUCCCCUGUCGUGUCCUGUAAUCUGAUUGGGCGUUAAGAUUGUGCGAGCAGUGUGGUCGCGAGGCCACCAUAACCUCCAUCGAGUCUUGAAUUCCCUCCAUUACGCUAAACUUCUUCACAAAGACUCUCAUUGUUCGCGCUCCAAUAUGCCGUGACUGGGUAACAAAUUUACCACGGCUGAUAAGACGAUGUUUAAACAGACAUUAAAAAAGACAGGUCUCCCAGAAAACCUUCACACACAAAAAAAAAAAGACAAAGAAAAAUGGAUGUCUAAUACGGCCAAAUAGCGGGCCAGCCACAGAUAUAACAAAUAAAUGCUAAUUAGCAUAACAGAAAUGCUAAUUAGACGAUUAGCAUUCAUACACCUUUCAGAAACAUAGAAAAUGAUGAAGAUGAAGUGUAAAUUUGAUAUAUUAUGUGACAAGGGAGGCCUGUGUGUGCUUCACAUCAUCAUCAUAAUCAUCACCAUGGUUCUCGUAUUGCCUUAUCUGUAACUCAAGGACACAAAGUAGAGGCACUGAUAAUGUGAUUGCACUGGGACAUAUAUAAAGAUGGAAGUAUCUCACUAUAUACCACCCAGAUAAACAACUGAAACAUCUCAUCAGACAAGAGAAAACAACAACAACAAACAAAAAGGCAGUGUAGUGGACAGGGAGGGUGUACGUGUCCCAGGACAUGUAGUUUAACAACACAGCCGAGAGAAAGAAAAGAGAAUCCUUAUCAAGGCUACAAGAUUAGCAGCUUUUAAAAAAAAAAGUCAAACGUUGAGUAAAUCAUUCAGUUCUUGAGUCUUGAGUAUUGAGUCUUGUUCUUGUUGAAAGCAUACAAAUUUGAGAAAUUUGUCAUAUUUUGGUGUACCUUUGUAGAAGAUUAUAAGCUGGAGAACAAACGUAGCAAACAAAAUGUGCCCAGUGAUCCCUGGACGACUGUUAAGGUGUUGUGUGGUACUAAUUCUGAAGGGGUGAUACCGUUUACCUGAGGGUUGUUUCUAAAUCAGACAGUUCCCC